GUUCCCGGCGAUGCUCGGGAUCAAAAGUUUCAAAAUUAGGAAUCAUUUUUCAUAAUUCAUUGCAUUAUUAGCACAACUCACUUCAAAAAUAUUUUACAUCUUUUACGUCCAACAUCACUAAACUGGAAGUCGCCAUUUCGGAUUUCAAAAUGACGUAUGGAGUUCGAAAGUUUCGGAAGUAUUGAAAUGGUUGGCCAAAUAGUGGUAUUAUUCAGAUCCCGCAUAAACAAAUACCAUACACGAAUUGUUUCCCGUAUGGUAUCUCAACCAUUUAUAAAAAAGUCACAUAACCAUUUACAUACCAUAUCAGCUUCAGUUUUGACCAUCUAGUUUAUAGUAAACUGAGAAAUAACCAUUUGGUGAACUAGGCGUUAGGUAUGGUUACCAUUCAAAAAUUGCGAUUAUCCCGAAAAUUUUUUUUUUCGAUAUUGUACACGAUAUGUAGUUUCCAGUUGUACAGGUAUCAUUUCAUGAAAGGUAUAUUUACAUUGAUUUAUAUUCUCAUAAUCGUUCGUGGAAUAGUCGUGAUAUUGUUGUGAAUAUAAUAAAGAUUUCAUCACUUGCCAGCCAUGUAGCACAUUUCUCUUUGUGAGUGGUCAUAUUUGUUUUCUUCCAGGCUGCGAGGGGCGCUGUUUUGCAUUCGUCGUGCAAUGUCGACAUCCACUUCGUUCUGCUCGAAGAUACUGGAUAGAAAAAAAAAUUGUAUGAAUACUCAAGCCGAAAGAUUUGUGACCAAUUUGAUUACCACCUUCCAUUAUAGUUUGACAAAAACCUGCGACCACACCGUUUGCUGGAAGAUAUCUCUUCGUUUUUCGAUGGAGCUUCAACCGUUGAAGGUGUGGUAAACAAAUAGUGCUCACUAUCCUAUUUGGGGAUUCUGAAUAUAAUAUUGUAGCUCAAUAGUUUGUCAUUCAAUUUAGUACAGUAAUAACUGAUAAAAGAUAUUAUCACGAACAGUUACCAUACUUCAUUAGGUACAGUUAAAGUCCUUAUCGCUUCAGUAAUGGUUUUUGAUUAUGCGGGAUUACUUCCCUGAAACCAGAAGUCGUCAUUUUGAAAAAUGUUAUGUGGGGUCAUCCCAGUUCCGAAUAUACCACGCUCGGGUGAUAACCGGAUAUUCGGCAAUCGUUCACAGUAAAACCUCUUUUUAUGUAACUUUUAGAAGAUAGAAAUUAAAGUAAGAAGAAUUUAGCGUGACCAUUCAUGCUUAGUUCUCCUCUAUAAUCAUAUCUAAAGAGAUAACAUGUAAAUUUUUAUAACGAAAAUGUUUGUUGGUGUCCAAGGAACACGUCUGAGAAGAAGUUAACGUUUUAAUCCACAUACCUACGUAGAAAUUAAAAAAAAAAGAUUAAACCAAUGAAAUUCCUCCAGCCAAAUGUCCCAAGAUCUAGUUUUGGUAAAACUAAAAAAAUAUUUCGAAUCCCGUAAUGUGUUACUAUUGUAAUUUUUUUCUGCUCGACUCGCACCAAAUUGAAACAAAAGUUCUUCUGCAAGAAAAUGUUUGCAGAUGUUGAAGGAACAACGAACAUUUUAUUGAAAAAAAAA